rnacentral:rRNA from 1 species
AAGCGCUUGCUACCAGACUUGUUGGCGGUGUUCCGCCGGUCUUCUGACCGGUCUACUCGCCGCUCGCAGGCCAGCGUCGUCUGGGGCCGCCGGAUAAAGGCUUGGGGAAUGUGGCUCCCUCGGGAGUGUUAUAGCCCCUCGCACAAUACGGUGAGUCCCGGGCGAGGUCCGCGCUUCGGCAAGGACGCUGGCGUAAUGGUCGUAAGCGG